rnacentral:lncRNA from 1 species
UGGAAGGCGGGCCGGGGCUUGCUUGACUAACCUGAAGGAAGACGCUGAGAUUCUCCCUGAAGCGUCCCACAUCCCUAAUAACUCCUGGAUAGAGGCCAACUAUGAUUAAUAAUCCAUGGUUUGGUCCAACCAUGACUAAUAACCCAUGUCGUGGUCCAACCAUGACUAAUAACCGAUGGAUCUGGUCCAGCCGUGAUGAAUAGCCCGUGAUUCUGAUCCAUGAGCUAUGGUUCUGGUCCAACCCCUUCAAAAUACCGAUGAGACGGAGAAUCAGUCAACAAGCAUGUAUUAAACACCUCCUGUGUACCAGGCACUGUGCCAAAUGCUGGGGUCACAAGAAAGGCCAAAGACGGUCUUUUCUCCAGAAUCUCACAGUCCAAUGAGGACGACAAUGAAAAUUACCAGUACAAACAAUAUCUACAUGCACAGGAUGAACCGGAGAGAGGGCACCAGCAGUACCAGGGAUGGGGAAAGGUUUCUUUGGAAGAUCCGACCGACAGAAAAAAGGUGAACACACCAAAACAAACCAGAAACCACAUCUGACAUCAUGCUCCAAAAAUUUAGUGGAGGAAGAAAUCUCUUCAGGCUGGGGGAUAAUCCAGAAGACUUCCUGGAAGAGAAGCUUUGUAAACCUGCCCUUAAAGGCUGAGUAAGAUUUCAACUUGUAGAGAUGGAAAAACCAUUCCAGAUGAAGUAAAAUGCAUUAGCAUUAGAAUGGAUGAUGAAAAGUGGGGCAUGUUCUGGGAAUGCCCAGAAGCUUUGCUUGUGUGCUCAGGCCUGAGAGGUACCAAGGGGGAUAAUAAAGAAAUAGGAUUAAAUUCA